CCCCAGGUCAGGCGGGAUCACCCGCUGAGUUUAAGCAUAUCAAUAA
rnacentral:rRNA from 2 species